CGUAACAAGGUCUCCGUAGGUGAACCUGCGGAGAGAUCAUUACACAAAUAUGAAGGCGGGCUGGAACCUCUCGGGGUUACAGCCUUGCUGAAUUAUUCACCCUUGUCUUUUGCGUACUUCUUGUUUCCUUGGUGGGUUCGCCCACCACUAGGACAAACAUAAACCUUUUGUAAUUGCAAUCAGCGUCAGUAACAAAUUAAUAAUUACAACUUUCAACAACGGAUCUCUUGGUUCUGGCAUCGAUGAAGAACGCAGCGAAAUGCGAUAAGUAGUGUGAAUUGCAGAAUUCAGUGAAUCAUCGAAUCUUUGAACGCACAUUGCGCCCUUUGGUAUUCCAAAGGGCAUGCCUGUUCGAGCGUCAUUUGUACCCUCAAGCUUUGCUUGGUGUUGGGCGUCUUGUCUCUAGCUUUGCUGGAGACUCGCCUUAAAGUAAUUGGCAGCCGGCCUACUGGUUUCGGAGCGCAGCACAAGUCGCACUCUCUAUCAGCAAAGGUCUAGCAUCCAUUAAGCCUUUUUUUCAACUUUUGACCUCGGAUCAGGUAGGGAUACCCGCUGAACUUAAGCAUAUCA
rnacentral:rRNA from 1 species